AUUCCUUUAGUAGCGGCGAGUGAAGCGGGAACAGCCCAUCGCUGAAUCCCAGAGUCCGACCGGGCCCCGGGAGUUGUGGCGUGAGGCGGCUUCGGGCGCUCGAGUUCACGGUGCCGAGGUCCUCCUGAUCGGGGCGCCUUACCCAGAGCGGGUGUCAGGCCCGUUCAGGCGCCGGAACUCGCGAGCCUGCAGCCACCAAGAGUCGGGUAGUUUUGGAAUGCUGCCCAAAGAGGGGUGGUGAACUCCAUCCAAGGCUAAAUACUGGCACGAGACCGAUAGCAGACAAGUAC
rnacentral:rRNA from 1 species